UACGGAGGGGGCUAGCGUUGUUCGGAAUUACUGGGCGUAAAGCGCGCGUAGGCGGACCUGCAAGUCGGGGGUGAAAGCCCGAGGCUCAACCUCGGAACUGCCUUCGAUACUGCGGGUCUCGAGUCCGGGAGAGGUGAGUGGAAUUCCGAGUGUAGAGGUGAAAUUCGUAGAUAUUCGGAAGAACACCAGUGGCGAAGGCGGCUCACUGGACCGGCAUUGACGCUGAGGUGCGAAAGCGUGGGGAGCAAACAGG
rnacentral:rRNA from 1 species